AUUGAACGCUAGCGGGAUGCUUUACACAUGCAAGUCGAACGGCAGCGCGGACUUCGGUCUGGCGGCGAGUGGCGAACGGGUGUGAAAUGUAUCGGAACGUGCUCAGUAGCGGGGGAUAACUACGCGAAAGCGUAGCUAAUACCGCAUACGCCCUACGGGGGAAACCAGGGGAUCGUAAGACCUUGCACUAUUGGAGCGGCCGAUAUCGGAUUAGCUAGUUGGUGAGGUAACGGCCCACCAAGGCGACGAUCCGUAGCUGGUUUGAGAUGACGGCCAGCCACACUAGGACUGAGACACGGCCCAGACUACUACGGGACGCAGCAGUGGGGAAUGUUGGACAAUGGGGGCAACCCUGAUCCAGCCAACCCGCGUGUGCGAUGAAGGCCUUCGGGUUGUAAAGGACUUUUGGCAGGAAAGAAACGUCGCGGGCUAAUACCCCGUGGAACUGACGGUACCUGCAGAAUAAGCACCGGCUAACUACGUG
rnacentral:rRNA from 1 species